rnacentral:misc_RNA from 1 species
CAUUCAGUAGCCUAGCUACUUGUUUAUACCCUUGGUUUUUUGCGUACCUAUUGUUUCCUCGCGGUGGGCUUGCCUGCCGGUUGGAGACAAAACUAUAUAACGCAUUUUGCUAAAAUCUUCAAUCAGCGUUCUGAAUUAUACAUAAUAAUUCAGAG